UACAGAGGUGGCAAGCGUUUGUUCGGAAUUACUGGGCGUAAAGGGCGCGUAGGCGGCCAUCUAAGUCAGACGUGAAAUCCCCCGGCUUAACCUGGGAACUGCGUCUGAUACUGGAAGGCUUGAGUAUGGGAGAGGGAUGUAGAAUUCCAGGUGUAGCGGUGAAAUGCGUAGAUAUCUGGAGGAAUACCGGUGGCGAAGGCGGCAUCCUGGACCAUUACUGACGCUGAGGCACGAAAGCCGGGGGAGCAAACGGG
rnacentral:rRNA from 1 species